rnacentral:rRNA from 1 species
GACGAACGCUGGCGGCGUGCUUAACACAUGCAAGUCGAACGCGCCUGUCCUCUGGGUUUCUGGGGGGUGGGUGAGUGGCGAACGGGUGAGUAACACGUGAGUAACCUGCCCCCUUCUUCGGGAUAACGGUCUGAAAGGGCUGCUAAUACCGGGUAUUCACUGGUCUCCGCAUGGGGUCUGGUGGAAAGGUUUUUUUCUGGUGGGGGUUGGGCUCGCGGCCUAUCAGCUUGUUGGUGGGGUGAUGGCCCACCAAGGCUUUGACGGGUAGCCGGCCUGAGAGGGUGAACGGUAACAUUGGGACUGAGAUACGGCCCAGACUCCUACGGGAGGCAGCAGUGGGGAAUAUUGCACAAUGGGCGCAAGCCUGAUGCAGCGACGCCGCGUGAGGGAUGGAGGCCUUCGGGUUGUGAACCUCUUUCGCCCGUGGUCAAGCCGCGACGUGGGUCGUGGUGAGGGUAGUGGGUAAAGAAGCGCCGGCUAACUACGUG